GACGAACGCUGGCGGCGUGCUUAACACAUGCAAGUCGAACGGUAAGGCCCUUCGGGGUACACGAGUGGCGAACGGGUGAGUAACACGUGGGUGAUCUGCCCUGCACUUCGGGAUAAGCCUGGGAAACUGGGUCUAAUACCGGAUAGGACUCCGGACUGCAUGGUCUGGGGUGGAAAGCUUUUGCGGUGUGGGAUGGGCCCGCGGCCUAUCAGCUUGUUGGGGGGGUGAUGGCCUACCAAGGCGACGACGGGUAGCCGGCCUGAGAGGGUGACCGGCCACACUGGGACGGGGAUACGGCCCAGACUCCUACGGGAGGCAGCAGUGGGGAAUAUUGCACAAUGGGCGCAAGCCUGAUGCAGCGACGCCGCGUGAGGGAUGACGGCCUUCGGGUUGUAAACCUCUUUCAGCAUCGACGAAGCGAAAGUGACGGUAGGUGCAGAAGAAGGACCGGCCAACUACGUGCCAGCCGCCGCCGUAA
rnacentral:rRNA from 1 species